rnacentral:rRNA from 1 species
AGCGAACGCUGGCGGCAGGCCUAACACAUGCAAGUCGAACGAAGUCUUCGGACUUAGUGGCGGACGGGUGAGUAACACGUGGGAACGUGCCUUUAGGUUCGGAAUAACUCAGGGAAACUUGUGCUAAUACCGAAUGUGCCCUUCGGGGGAAAGAUUUAUCGCUUUUAGAGCGGCCCGCGUCGGGUGAGCUAGUUGGUGAGGUAAAGGCUCACCAAGGCGCCGAUCAGUAGCUGGUCUGAGAGGAUGAUCAGCCACAUUGGGACUAAGACACGGCCCAAACUCCUACGGGAGGCAGCAGUGGGGAAUCUUGCGCAAUGGGCGAAAGCCUGACGCAGCCAUGCCGCGUGAAUGAUGAAGGUCUUAGGAUUGUGAAAUUCUUUCACCGGGGACGAUAAUGACGGUACCCGGAGAAGAAGCCCCGGCUAACUUCGUGCCAGCCGCCGCCGUAA